rnacentral:rRNA from 1 species
AAGGAGCAAGUAGGCUGCGCGCGUGUUGGGGUACUGUUGGGUUCUCUGGGGGCGCACCUGUGUGGUGGGCUCGCUGGUGUGGUGGUUGACAGGUGGAUAGUGGUGGCGAGCAUCGUUGUGUGAUGUCGCGUGUGUGCGUGAUGUCGUGACAGCUUGGUUUUGUUGAGUGCAUGGCCGUGUGUGGCUGUGU